rnacentral:rRNA from 1 species
AUACGGAGGGUGCAAGCGUUGUUCGGAAUCACUGGGCGUAAAGCGCGCGCAGGCGGCUUGAUAAGUUGGAUGUGAAAGCCUACGGCUCAACCGUAGAACUGCAUCCAAAACUGUCAGGCUAGAGUGUGGGAGAGGAAGAUGGAAUUAGUUGUGUAGGGGUAAAAUCCGUAGAGAUAACUAGGAAUACCAAAAGCGAAGGCAAUCUUCUGGAACACUACUGACGCUGAGGCGCGAAGGCGUGGGGAGCAAACAGGAUUAGAAACCCCAGUAGUCC